rnacentral:rRNA from 1 species
CGUUCAACCUCAAAAGAAGCAGAGGGGGCUUAGUGGUGGGGUGACUGCGUACCUUUUGUAUAAUGGGUCAGCGACUUAUAUUCUGUAGCAAGGUUAACUGUAUAGGGGAGCCGGAGGGAAACCGAGUCUUAACCGGGCGUUAAGUUGCAGGGUAUAGACCCGAAACCCGGUGAUCUAGCCAUGGGCAGGUUGAAGGUUGGGUAACACUAACUGGAGGACCGAACCGACUAAUGUUGAAAAAUUAGCGGAUGACCUGUGGCUGGGGGUGAAAGGCCAAUCAAACCGGGAGAUAGCUGGUUCUCCCCGAAAGCUAUUUAGGUAGCGCCUCGUGAAUUCAUCUCCGGGGGUAGAGCACUGUUUCGGCUAGGGGGCCAUCCCGGCUUACCAACCCGAUGCAAACUGCGAAUACCGGAGAAUGUUAUCACGGGAGACACACGGCGGGUGCUAAUGUCCGUCGUGAAGAGGGAAACAACCCAGACCGCCAGCUAAGGUCCCAAAGUCAUGGUUAAGUGGGAAACGAUGUGGGAAGGCCCAGACAGCCAGGAUGUUGGCUUAGAAGCAGCCAUCAUUUAAAGAAAGCGUAAUAGCUCACUGGUCGAGUCGGCCUGCGCGGAAGAUGUAACGGGGCUAAACCAUGCACCGAAGCUGCGGCAGCGACACCGUGUGUUGUUGGGUAGGGGAGCGUUCUGUAAGCCUGUGAAGGUGUGCUGUGAGGCAUGCUGGAGGUAUCAGAAGUGCGAAUGCUGACAUAAGUAACGAUAAAGCGGGUGAAAAGCCCGCUCGCCGGAAGACCAAGGGUUCCUGUCCAACGUUAAUCGGGGCAGGGUGAGUCGACCCCUAAGGCGAGGCCGAAAGGCGUAGUCGAUGGGAAACGGGUUAAUAUUCCCGUACUUGGUGUUACUGCGAAGGGGGGACGGAGAAGGCUAUGUUGGCCGGGCGACGGUUGUCCCGGUUUAAGCGUGUAGGUAUGUGUUCCAGGUAAAUCCGGUUCACUUUAACACUGAGGCGUGACGACGAGGCACUACGGUGCUGAAGCAACAAAUGCCCUGCUUCCAGGAAAAGCCUCUAAGCAUCAGGUAACAUCAAAUCGUACCCCAAACCGACACAGGUGGUCAGGUAGAGAAUACCAAGGCGCUUGAGAGAACUCGGGUGAAGGAACUAGGCAAAAUGGUGCCGUAACUUCGGGAGAAGGCACGCUGACACGUAGGUGAAGUGAUUUACUCACGGAGCUGAAGUCAGCCGAAGAUACCAGCUGGCUGCAACUGUUUAUUAAAAACACAGCACUGUGCAAACACGAAAGUGGACGUAUACGGUGUGACGCCUGCCCGGUGCCGGAAGGUUAAUUGAUGGGGUCAGCGCAAGCGAAGCUCCUGAUCGAAGCCCCGGUAAACGGCGGCCGUAACUAUAACGGUCCUAAGGUAGCGAAAUUCCUUGUCGGGUAAGUUCCGACCUGCACGAAUGGCGUAAUGAUGGCCAGGCUGUCUCCACCCGAGACUCAGUGAAAUUGAACUCGCUGUGAAGAUGCAGUGUACCCGCGGCAAGACGGAAAGACCCCGUGAACCUUUACUAUAGCUUGACACUGAACAUUGAGCCUUGAUGUGUAGGAUAGGUGGGAGGCUUUGAAGUGUGGACGCCAGUCUGCAUGGAGCCGACCUUGAAAUACCACCCUUUAAUGUUUGAUGUUCUAACGUGGACCCGUGAUCCGGGUUGCGGACAGUGUCUGGUGGGUAGUUUGACUGGGGCGGUCUCCUCCUAAAGAGUAACGGAGGAGCACGAAGGUUGGCUAAUCCUGGUCGGACAUCAGGAGGUUAGUGCAAUGGCAUAAGCCAGCUUGACUGCGAGCGUGACGGCGCGAGCAGGUGCGAAAGCAGGUCAUAGUGAUCCGGUGGUUCUGAAUGGAAGGGCCAUCGCUCAACGGAUAAAAGGUACUCCGGGGAUAACAGGCUGAUACCGCCCAAGAGUUCAUAUCGACGGCGGUGUUUGGCACCUCGAUGUCGGCUCAUCACAUCCUGGGGCUGAAGUAGGUCCCAAGGGUAUGGCUGUUCGCCAUUUAAAGUGGUACGCGAGCUGGGUUUAGAACGUCGUGAGACAGUUCGGUCCCUAUCUGCCGUGGGCGCU